rnacentral:rRNA from 1 species
CGGACGGGUGAGUAAUGUAUGGGGAUCUGCCUGAUGGCGGGGGAUAACUACUGGAAACGGUAGCUAAUACCGCAUAACGUCGCAAGACCAAAGAGGGGGACCUUAGGGCCUCUUGCCAUCGGAUGUGCCCAGAUGGGAUUAGCUAGUAGGUGGGGUAACGGCUCACCUAGGCGACGAUCCCUAGCUGGUCUGAGAGGAUGACCAGCCACACUGGGACUGAGACACGGCCCAG